GUCCACGCCGUAAACGAUGGAUGCUAGCCGUCAGCAAGCAUGCUUGUUGGUGGCGCAGCUAACGCAUUAAGCAUCCCGCCUGGGGAGUACGGCCGCAAGGUUAAAACUCAAAGGAAUUGACGGGGGCCCGCACAAGCGGUGGAGCAUGUGGUUUAAUUCGACGCAACGCGAAGAACCUUACCAACCCUUGACAUGUCCGGUCGGUUUCCAGAGAUGGAUUCCUCCCAGCAAUGGGCCGGAACACAGGUGCUGCAUGGCUGUCGU
rnacentral:rRNA from 1 species